UGCAGAAUCCCGUGAACCAUCGAGUCUUUGAACGCAAGUUGCGCCCGAGGGACCCUCCCGAGGGCACGCCUGCCUCAUGGGCGUUAGAAGCCCAUCCACGCUCGGUUGCCAAACGGCAAAGAUGCGGACGUUGGCCCUCCGAACUGCGAGGUACGGUGGGCCUAAGUGUGCGGCCGUCGUUUGUGGCCGGGAGCGGCGAGUGGUGGGCAACAGCGCACGUCACCCCGAGCCCUGUACCGACGCAGGGCCUUUAUUGACCCCUAACGAGGAGCUUGCUGUUGCAGCUUGUGCUGCGCGGCGCCUUCGGACCGAUACCCCAGGUCAGGCGGGGCUACCCGCUGAGUUUAAGCAUAUAAAUAAGCGGAGGAGAAGAAACUUACAAGGAUUCCCCUAGUAACGGCGAGCGAACCGGGAGCAGCCCAGCCUUAGAAUCGCGGUGGCACUGCCGCCCGA
rnacentral:rRNA from 1 species